UACGGAGGAGGCAAGCGUUAUCCGGAAUUAUUGGGCGUAAAGCGUCCGCAGGUGGCACUUCAAGUCUGUCGUCAAAGACUGGGGCUUAACCCUGGAAAGGCGGUGGAAACUGAACAGCUAGAGUAUGGUAGGGGCAGAGGGAAUUCCUGGUGUAGCGGUGAAAUGCGUAGAUAUCAGGAAGAACAUCGGUGGCGAAGGCGCUCUGCUGGACCAUAACUGACACUCAGGGACGAAAGCUAGGGGAGCGAACAGG
rnacentral:rRNA from 1 species